rnacentral:rRNA from 1 species
GAUGAACGCUGGCGGCGUGCUUAACACAUGCAAGUCGAACGAUGAAGCCCAGCUUGCUGGGUGGAUUAGUGGCGAACGGGUGAGUAACACGUGAGUAACCUGCCCUUAACUCUGGGAUAAGCCUGGGAAACUGGGUCUAAUACCGGAUAGGAGCGCCUACCGCAUGGCGGGUGUUGGAAAGAUUUAUCGGUUUUGGAUGGACUCGCGGCCUAUCAGCUUGUUGGUGAGGUAAUGGCUCACCAAGGCGACGACGGGUAGCCGGCCUGAGAGGGUGACCGGCCACACUGGGACUGAGACACGGCCCAGACUCCUACGGGAGGCAGCAGUGGGGAAUAUUGCACAAUGGGCGAAAGCCUGAUGCAGCGACGCCGCGUGAGGGAUGACGGCCUUCGGGUUGUAAACCUCUUUCAGUAGGGAAGAAGCGAAAGUGACGGUACCUGCAGAAGAAGCACCGGCUAACUACGUG